rnacentral:rRNA from 1 species
ACUCUUCACGAUGGAUAUCUUGGCUCUUGAAUCGAUGAAGAACGCAGCGAACUGCGAUAUGUAAUGCGAACUGCAGAAGUCUGUGAGUCAUUGAAUCUUUGAACGCAUAUUGCACUUCCUUUGGGAGUAUGCUUGUUGGAGUGUGAUUUGACUUGAAUGUCUGCUCUAUUCUGGGUGAGUGGAGUAGACGAUGAUUGAUGGUGGGUUCAUCUGUAAGACCCUCCAUUGAAAUAAAUGAAUAGGUUGGAGUUAAAUUGGUAAAUAUCAAUUAACCCUAACCCUCUCUAAUUCUAUUUUCAUUUUUCAUCUCCAAUCAAGCAAGAAGACCUGCUGAAUUGAAGCAUCUAACUAAGCAGAGGAAAAGAAAAUAACGAUGAUUCCCUUAGUAACGGCGAGUGAAGUGGGAAAAGCCCAAUCCGAAUUAACCCUGCAAUAGUAGAGUUAAGUUGUGGAGUGUAGAAAUAUUGUUUGGUAUAAUAGAUUAUGAGAAUUGGAUUGGAAAGUCAAGUCAUAGAAGGUGAAAACCCUGUAUUUGCAUAAUGUAUUGUACCUUUUGAACAAUGUUUCGUGGAGUCGAGUUGUUUGGGAUUGCAGCUCGAAGUUGGUGGUAAACUCCAUCAAAGGCUAAAUAUGUUCAAGAGACCGAUAGCGAACAAGUACCGUGAGGGAAAGAUGAAAAGCACUUUGAAAAAAGAGUGAAAUAGUACUUGAAAUCGUGGAGGGGUUAAGCGUAGGAGUGGUUGAAUGAUGCAUGCAUUGUUGUUGAUGUACGUGUGCAUUAAUAAGAAUGAAUGCAAAUGCGAGAUUGUUUAAUGGUGGUAGAAGGUUUGUAUUGCUAUUGAACAAUCUUGGUGUAAUAACUGCUUCUCCGUCCCGUCUUGAAACACGGACCAAGGAGUCUAUCAUAUUUGCGAGUAGUUUAGUGUUAAACUAAAAUGCGUAAUGAAGGUAAUGGUUGUGAAGGCCCUUCUUCUAGGAGGGCUAGCAACAACUACCGGUCUUGCAUCUCUGAUAAAGGAUUCGAGUAUUAGCAAAGAUGGUGGGACCCGAAAGAUGGUGAACUAUGCCUGAAUAGGACGAAGCCAGGGGAAACUCUGGUGGAGGUUCGAGUGGAUUCUAACGUGCAAAUUGAUCUUUAAAUUUGGGUAUAGGGGCGAAAGACUAAUCGAACCAUCUAGUAGCUGGUUCCUUCCGAAAUUUCCCUCAGGAUAGCUGCAACUGUGUCUAGUUUUAUGAGGUAAAGCGAAUGAUUAGAGGAUUCUGGGAUGUAAUAUCCUGGACCUAUUCUCAAACUUUGAAUGGGUAAGAUGUUGUGGUUGCCUAAGCGAACCACGAUUUUGAAUAGUAGUUGCAAGUGGGCCAUUCCGGGUAAGCUGGACUGGCGAUGCGGGAUCAACCGAACGAUAUGGUACGGCGCCUAAUUGUUCGCUCAGUUCGAUAGAAAAGGUGUUAGUUCAUCUAGACAGCAGGACGGUGGCCAUGGAAGUCGGAAUCCGCUAAGGAGUGUGUAACAACUCACCUGCCGAAUGAAGUAGCCCUGAAAAUGGAUGGCGCUUAAGCGAACAGCCUAACCAUGUCUGCCGUCCCAAUUCUCUAGAAUUAUGGGUCGGCAAGUAGGAAGGCGUGAUGGAUAUUGAAAAGUAUAUGUGUAAACUUAUAUGGAAUGUCCAUUAGUGCAGAUCUUGGUGGAAGUAGCAAAUAUUCAAAUGAGAUCUUUGAAGACUGAAGUGGAGAAAGGUUCCAUAGGAAUCGUGUUGAACUAUGGGUUAGUCGGUCCUAAGAGAUAGGUGAAAUCCGUUGAAAAUGUUCUUUUGAAAGAAAGAGCAAUGGAUCGAAAGGGAAUCAGGUUAAUAUUCCUGAACCAAUGGGGUGCAAUUGUAGAAUGGUAACAGAGAAUAAUAUUAUGACAUCGGUUACUCUCCUGGGAAGAGUUUUCUUUUCUUGUUAACAAUAAUAAAAGCUUGGAAUGGAAUGAAUCCGCGAAAAGGUUUUGUUAUUGGUAAAGGAAUUCAAUAUUUUGAAUUCUCCGGUGCAGAGUAAUGGGUCCUUGAAAAGUAAUAUUAUUUCCUUUUUUUAGGGAAGGCAUUUCAUUGUCCGUACUCAUAACCGCAUCAGGUCUCCAAGGUGAAUAGCCUCUAGUUAAUAGAAUAAUGUAGAUAAGGGAAGUCGGCAAAUUAGAUCCGUAACUUCGGGAUAAGGAUUGGCUCUGAGGGCUAGGUGUGGUUCUUCGUAAGGAGGACCGUCGAUUCUUGGAUAUGGAGUGAAUGAGAGGAUUGAUGGAGUUGUCUGUCCUCGGAUGGACGGCCCUAUCACUCUUCUCUGCAACUCUCAUUCCUUGGAUCGAAGCACAAUGAAUAGCUGACUCAGAACUGGUACGGACAAGGGGAAUCCGACUGUUUAAUUAAAACAAAGCAUUGUGAUAGUGUGAAAGAUAUAUUGACACAAUGUGAAUUCUGCCCAGUGCUCUGAAUGUCAAAGUGAAGGAAUUCAACCAAGCGCGGGUAAACGGCGGGAGUAACUAUGACUCUCUUAAGGUAGCCAAAUGCCUCGUCAUCUAAUUAGUGACGCGCAUGAAUGGAUUAAUGAGAUUCCCACUGUCCCUAUCUACUAUCUAGCGAAACCACAGCCAAGGGAACGGGCUUGGCAACAUCAGCGGGGAAAGAAGACCCUGUUGAGCUUGACUCUAGUCUGACUUUGUGAUAUGACUCUCCAAGGGUAG